UACGUAGGGUGCGAGCGUUAAUCGGAAUUACUGGGCGUAAAGCGUGCGCAGGCGGCGCGUUAAGACAGGUGUGAAAGCCCCGAGCUUAACUUGGGAAUUGCGCUUGUGACUGGCGUGCUGGAGUGUGGCAGAGGGAGGUGGAAUUCCACGUGUAGCAGUGAAAUGCGUAGAGAUGUGGAGGAACACCCGUGGCGAAGGCGGCUCUCUGGGACGGUACUGACGCUGAGACGCGAAAGCGUGGGGAGCGAACAGG
rnacentral:rRNA from 1 species